UGCUUUAUGAAUUUAAUAUAAAGUAAUCUCCUGCCCAGUGAUUUAAUUUAACGGCCGCGGUAUCCUAACCGUGCAAAGGUAGCAUAAUAAUUUGCCCAUUAAUUGUGGGCUAGAAUGAAGGGGGUAACGAAAUAAGAUCUGUCUCAAUAAAACAUAUAAAAACUAAUAUUCAAGUGAAGAAGCUUAAAUAAAAUUAAAGGACAAGAAGACCCUAUAGAGCUUUAUCUUUCAAUGUUUAAACAAGAAAAAGAUUCGGUUGGGGCGACCAUGGAUAAAUCAUCCAUAACAUUUAAGACUAACUUGUCAAAUCAUAGAUCCUUUUAAGAUCAUAGAAUCAAGCUACCUUAGGGAUAACAGGCUAAUCCUAUUAAAGAGCUCUUAUCGACAAUAGGGAUUGGCACCUCGAUGUUGGCUUAGAAUAUCUUUAAGGCGCAGAAGUCAUAAAAAGAGGGUUUGUUCAACCCAUAACAUUC
rnacentral:rRNA from 1 species